GACGAACGCUGGCGGCGUGCCUAACACAUGCAAGUCGAACGGAAACGCCCUGCUUUUGUGCUGUGCCCGAGUGCCGAACGCGUGAGGAUCACGUGUGUAUCCUGCCCUUGUCUUUGGGAUAACUUCAGGAAACUGGGGUUAAUAUCGUACAGCAUACCCUGCUGCAUUGUGGGGGUUGGAUAUUUUCGGCGGUUGGGGAUGGAUUCGCGGCUUAUCGGCUUGUUGGUUGGGUAGUGGCUUACCCAGGCAUUGACGGGUAGCCGGCCUGUGGGGGUGACAGGCCACAUAGGGACUGAGGGGCGGCCCAGACGGCGACGGGAGGAAGCAGGGGGGAAGAUUGCACAAGGGGCGAAGGCCGGAUGCAGCAACGCCGCGUGCGGGAAGACGGCUUUCGGGUUAUAAACCACUUGCGGGUGUAAAGAAGCGUGAGUGACGGUAACGGGUAGAAAAGGAACGGCUAACUACGUG
rnacentral:rRNA from 1 species